rnacentral:rRNA from 1 species
CUCCUACGGGAGGCAGCAGUGGGGAAUAUUGGGCAAUGGAUGAAAGUCUGACCCAGCCAUGCCGCGUGCAGGAAGAAUGCCUUAUGGGUUGUAAACUGCUUUUGUAUAGGAAGAAACCCCCGAUCGUGAUCGGGGCUGACGGUACUAUACGAAUAAGGAUCGGCUAACUCCGUGCCAGCAGCCGCGGUAAUACGGAGGAUCCAAGUGUUAUCCGGAUUUAUUAGGUUUAAAGGGUGCGUAGGCGGAAUUUUAAGUCAGUGGUGAAAUCCUACAGCUUAACUGUAGAACUGCCAUUGAAACUAUUAUUCUUGAGUAUAGUUGAGGUAGGCGGAACGUGUUAUGUAGCGGUGAAAUGCAUAGAUAUAACACAGAACACCAAUUGCGUAGGCAGCUUACUAAACUAUUACUGACGCUGAGGCACGAAAGCGUGGGUAGCGAACAGGAUUAGAUACCCUAGUAGUCCAAGCCG